rnacentral:rRNA from 1 species
UGGGGAAUUUUCCGCAAUGGGCGAAAGCCUGACGGAGCAACGCCGCGUGGAGGUGGAAGGCCUACGGGUCGUCAACUUCUUUUCUCGGAGAAGAAACAAUGACGGUAUCUGAGGAAUAAGCAUCGGCUAACUCUGUGCCAA